CCUGACGUAGGGGAGGACGCGUUAGUCGGGGGGAAGGUUCUAGAAAAGCGGCGGCAGCGGCUCUAGCGGCAGUAGCAGCAGCGCCGGGUCCAGAGUGGAGGUGCUCCUAGCGGUGUUGUUUCUCGACCAGCGGCAGUUCUCACUACAGCGCCAGGACGAGUCCGGUUCGUGUUCGUCCGCGGAGAUCUCUCUCAUCUCGCUCGGCUGCGGGAAAUCGGGCUGAAGCGACUGAGUCCGCGAUGGAGAAAACUUUAGAAACUGUUCCUUUGGAGAGGAAAAAGAGAGAAAAGGAACAAUUCCGUAAACUCUUUAUUGGUGGCUUGAGCUUUGAAACUACAGAAGAAAGUUUGAGGAACUACUACGAGCAAUGGGGAAAACUUACAGAUUGUGUGGUAAUGAGGGAUCCUGCAAGCAAAAGAUCAAGAGGAUUUGGUUUUGUAACUUUUUCAUCCAUGGCUGAGGUUGAUGCUGCCAUGGCUGCAAGACCUCAUUCAAUUGAUGGGAGAGUGGUUGAGCCAAAACGUGCUGUUGCAAGAGAGGAAUCUGGAAAGCCAGGGGCUCAUGUAACUGUGAAGAAGCUGUUUGUAGGUGGAAUUAAAGAAGAUACUGAGGAACAUCAUCUUAGAGAUUACUUUGAGGAAUAUGGAAAAAUUGAUACCAUUGAGAUAAUUACCGAUAGGCAGUCUGGAAAGAAAAGAGGCUUUGGGUUUGUUACUUUUGAUGACCAUGAUCCUGUGGAUAAGAUUGUGUUGCAGAAAUACCAUACUAUCAAUGGUCAUAAUGCAGAAGUAAGGAAGGCUUUAUCUAGACAAGAAAUGCAGGAAGUCCAAAGUUCUAGAAGUGGAAGAGGAGGCAACUUUGGUUUUGGAGAUUCUCGCGGUGGUGGUGGAAAUUUUGGACCAGGACCAGGAAGUAACUUCAGAGGAGGAUCUGAUGGAUAUGGAAGUGGUCGUGGAUUUGGGGAUGGCUAUAAUGGGUAUGGAGGAGGACCUGGAGGUGGCAAUUUUGGAGGUAGCCCUGGUUAUGGAGGAGGAAGAGGAGGAUAUGGUGGUGGAGGACCUGGAUAUGGCAACCAGGGUGGGGGCUACGGAGGUGGUUAUGACAACUAUGGAGGAGGAAAUUAUGGAAGUGGAAAUUAUAAUGAUUUUGGAAAUUAUAACCAGCAACCUUCUAACUACGGUCCAAUGAAGAGUGGAAACUUUGGUGGUAGCAGAAACAUGGGAGGACCAUAUGGUGGAGGAAACUAUGGUCCAGGAGGCAGUGGAGGAAGUGGGGGUUAUGGAGGGAGAAGCCGAUAUUGAGCUUCUUCCUAUUUACCAUGGCAUUGAUAUGAACCAUGGACACGUAUAUUCUGCUGCCACAAAGACUGUAAAGUGCUUCAUUUCAACAGCUGAGGCAAGCCAAGUGAUCAUUAAUAAAGCUUUUCUUGGUUCCUUCAGUGGUGUUGGUAGUGAAAUGGAAGGUGUCUUGCUGCAGGUAACUAAUGAAGAAGUGGUCAACCACAGAAUCUUCAAGAAAUAAGAAAUUCUGUACCAUCUGAAAGUAGUUCUUGUUGGUGCCUUCAUUUUAAAAAGCACUCUUUAAGAUUAAAGGGAAAUGUUUUCUGAUAAAAUAACAGACUUCAUUUAGUACAGGUUCUUAAUAUAAAACAAUUACAAAUUGAGUAUUGUUUGUAACAGAGUAACAUCAGUUCAGCUAGAGAGAGAAAUGUAUCGUGUUUUGAAUUAGGUUUUGUGAGUAGACAGAUUAAAAUUCUAUUUUAAAUAUAAAGUUUAUUAAAAUAAAUACUUUUGUAUUCAAAUACUUGGUGUAAUGUUUACACAUAAAAUGUGAAUCUUGUUCUAUGAACAUUAAGUUGUCUAAAGGAUUGCCAUCCACUAGAUUUCUAAAGCAGUUUCACAAAGCAAUGCAUAUUGCCAUUUUCCUUUCAAUAUGGAUAGACAAACGAGAAAAGCACUGUGGACAUUAUUGGCUGUCCCUAAUAAAAUGCCAUUCUUUAUACACUGUA